rnacentral:rRNA from 1 species
AUUCAAAUGAGAACUUUGAAGACUGAAGUGGAGAAAGGUUCCACGUGAACAGCAAUUGGACGUGGGUUAGUCGUUCCUAAGGGAUAGGAGAAAUCCGUUGAAAGGUGGCCGUUUGGCCCUUUGACCGAAAGGGAAUCGGGUUAAUAUUCCCGAACCAGGACGUGGAUGUUGAGUGGCAACACGAGCGAAGCCGGGGACAGCUGCGGGGGCCCCGACGAGAGUUUUCUUUUCUUGUUAACGAGUGCAUCGACCCCGGAAUCGGAUUGCCCGGAGAUUGGGUCGACGGCUCGGGAAAGGCGGUUACUUUUGGACCGCUUCGGUGCGCCCUCGACGCUCCUUGAAAACCCGGCAGCGUGUCUUAUUCGCACUCCUGGACGUACUCAUCACCGCCGCAGGUCUCCAAGGUUAGCAGCCUCUAGUCGAUAGAAGAAUGUAGUUAAGGGAAGUCGGCAAAAUAGAUCCGUACCUUUGGAAAAAGGAUUGGCUCUCAGGGUUGGGCCUAGGGGUCUCCUGGCCGAUGUUGCGGCUGCUGGACCUGUCUGCUUCACGGCGGACGGGUCCGGCGGCUCUUCGUAGGCCUGGAGGAAUCCACGGCGAUGAACAACCAGCUGAGAACUGGGACGGACAAGGGGAAUCCGACUGUUUAAUUAAAACGAAG